UACGUAGGGUGCAAGCGUUGUCCGGAAUUAUUGGGCGUGAAGAGCUCGUAGGCGGUCUGUCGCGUCGGCUGUGAAAACCCGGAGCUCAACUCCGGGCCUGCAGUCGAUACGGGCAGACUGGAGUUCGGCAGGGGAGACUGGAAUUCCUGGUGUAGCGGUGAAAUGCGCAGAUAUCAGGAGGAACACCGGUGGCGAAGGCGGGUCUCUGGGCCGAUACUGACGCUGAGGAGCGAAAGCGUGGGGAGCGAACAGG
rnacentral:rRNA from 1 species